UUGGGUAUGUCAAUGUUACUCAUAAUUUCUCCUUGAAAUUGUUCCUUCUCAAAAGUUAACUGAGAGAAUGCUAAAAUCAGCAUGAUUGUUAAGUCUUUGUUCAUCCAUGUUCUUACACAUAGUUGUUUUGCCUAAAUGUCCUCAUAUCCUUCAUUUUCUUCCUGAUUUUUAUGCUUUCUCAACUCUUCUCCUCAUUCAGCACCUCAUAAAGGUGAAACAUUUUCUGUGUAUUUGACAGAAGCUUUAUGUAGAUGCUCAACAAAUGUGAGCAACCCAACAGGAGAUGGUCAUUAAAGAUCAUCAGUCACAUGACCACAUCCAAAAGCCAAAAGCAAUCUCAAGGCAAGUGAAAUAAUGCUGCAUAGCACUUGUAAUUUGUCAAGCAUGUUAAAAAUGAAUCUCAAAAAAUUUCCUAAUCAGAAGCAAGAGACUAUGUAAUACAAGUAGAAAAGUAAUAUGCACAUACUCCACAUAAAGGAACAGAAGCUAUCCCAGCAUGAGGACCUGCCAGAGAUAUAAAGUUCUUCACCUGUUUCAAAUAACAAGAAGAAAGGCUUCAUUGAUUUUUAAUUUACAAAUAGAUAUGAAGAUAAUGCCACAAAAAACAGCCAAAGUUUCCUCUGGAUGCAAAAAUCUUGUCUUGCAUUUGAUGCAGUAACAAUAGUCUCUAAUUAAAGUCAUGUUUCAGGUAGAUCAACCUAGUUCCUGUAAUAGGCAGGCUGUGUCCAAAUCUUGACAAAAGAUUGAAGUUUUACACUCCUCAUUACUUUUCAAUUAUGUUUUCCCUAUGCAAAAGCUUGAACCAUGCAUUCCCCACCACCCUUUCAUUGGUAGCCCAUGCAAGUGGAAAAUUCCGAAAAAGGAGUUAUAAAUACCCAGUGAUGUUAUAUCUGUGUAAUGAACUAAACAAACGCUCCAAGUCCUGCAGAGAUUUGGUAGGCCUCUCAGAGCAAAAUUUUGUAAUAGAUAGGACUGAAGCAGGCAAAACUUUGAUAAUCAGAGAGCAGAAAACAAAUUUUACUGUUAAAUGUCUUGUAUCUUUAGCCUGUCCUUUUUUUAAAAAUGCAAAAAGAACUUGAUAUCCUACUUCUGAAGUCUCCAUUUGUUUGUGCCAAAGGACAUCUUUAGCCUCUCUAGAUAUAUAUAGACAUCUUUAACCUCUCUCUCUCUCUCUCUCUCUCUAUACACACGCACACACACACACACACACACACACAUAUAUAAAAUGUUAAAUAAAUGUUAAGUUAUACAAAAAGGUCCGGACAUUCUACUCCUGAAAUCUUCAUUGAAUUGUGAAAAUGGUGCAUUCUAAACAUCACAUAGUUCACUGUGAUUACAAAAGGUUCACUUCAAAAAAUCUGUCUCCCUCCAUUUUUGCCUUGUUAAUAAAUUUAUCUGGAUAUUGUUCUGCAACUUCAGAUAGUGUUUGAUGUCCUAAAAUUUUCAGGCUCCAUGAAAAACACUUAACUUUGUUCUGACAGCUGCUUUGAUUUUCAUUUCCUCAGCUGAAAAUUUCUUCAUAGUGCAUAUCCAAAGUGCAGAACACUGUAGUAACUACUCCUUUGUCAUGAUAUUGCAGAUGGUUGGAAUCCAAAUGUCGGUUUUCAACUUAUAAUAUCUAGUCCUAACAGGUACUCAAAGACAAAUGGUGCUCAACUACUUGAAAAGAUCAGAUGCUAGCUUCUUGGUGAAACAAAAUUGGAGAAUAGUAGAAUUUCCUAAGUGAAGAAGCCCUCCUGUGUGUCCAAAACUUGAGCUUAAGCUAAAUUACUGCAUAUAAACAUCCACCCAUCAUGUAUGUGUGUGUCUGUGCACAUAUAAGGUUACCAGUUCUAAGCAAGCACAUCUACUAAACCCUGCUAGAAUAAUUAGAAGAAAGGAGAUGAGCUGGCUAAGGAGAUAAUUUUACCAGAACAUAAUCAAUUUAGAUAUUUCAAGAUGAGGAUUUCAUGAGAAAUGCAUCCAUCAACGAAUCAAACCUAUUAAUAACAAGGU
rnacentral:lncRNA from 1 species